rnacentral:piRNA from 1 species
UCUAGUCCUGGUGCUCUUAAGAGA